AACGCACGAGACCUGCGGACCUGCGGAGGGAUCAUUAAUGAGAAGCUGCCCCUCGUGGGUAGACCUCCCACCCUCUGUGAACUUACCUUUGUUGCUUUGGCAGGCCCGUCCUCUGGACCGCCGGCUUCGGCUGGCCCGUGCCUGCCAGGGGAUUCCAAACCCUGUCUGUCAGUGUUGUCUGAGUCUAUAUGAAAUCGUUAAAACUUUCAACAACGGAUCUCUAGAUCGGAAGAGCACACG
rnacentral:misc_RNA from 1 species